UACAAGUUUAGUACUUACAUUGCUUGUUGAGCAAAUUUUGCAUUUUGCGUUUCAGUCGUUCGCGCAAAUUCAAACGACUGCUGCUGCCCUGCGGCGCUGAUGAAGAUGUUGACGGUGUCUGUAAGGAAUCACUUCAAAUGAUGAGGUCAAUGUCCUUUCUUCAACAAAGACUUUUCACAAGCUAAGAAUGUUGAGGAUUGUCAAAAAAAAGUUUAUGUAUAUAACUAUAAGCAAACGGUAAAGUGGUGCAUUAACAAAAAAAAAAUAUGUACAUACAUAUAUACAUACAUACAUAUGUAUGUAAACUAAAAAUAUAUUACUCAGGAAUAUUUUAUAGUUUCAAAUUUACUCGUUAACACCACAUGAUACCACAGUGCUUGCUAUCGUCUAGAAAUAAAAUGUCAUCAAAGUCAAUUAAAGGUCAACUAUUUAAUAGCCUAUCACUGUCCAUUUUUAUAAAAUUUGAAAUUCAUAUAUUUUUUGGUGGUUCUUACUGACUUUGGUUUCGGUAGCAUUAGAAAAACUUGGAUUGGUUUUCGCCGGAGCAGUAGUGCAAUAUUUGCCUAUUUGUUUACCAGUGGUUGACGUUGAUGAUGAUGGCAA